rnacentral:rRNA from 1 species
GGAACGUUGAAGACGAUGACGUUGAUAGGUCGGGUGUGUAAGCGCAGCGAUGCGUUGAGCUAACCGAUACUAAUGAACCGUGAGGCUUAACCUUACAACGCCGAAG